rnacentral:lncRNA from 1 species
UUUUUCACAUUGCAUCCUGUAGGUACACUUGAGGAAAUGGAGAUUUGGAUAGCUGGGAGAGAGAGAAAGGACCAGUGGCUUUCCUAAGAUGAACCAGUGGCUUGACAAGGCAGGGGAGCAGCAUUUGUUCCUUUGCUUUGCACUCCUGCACUCUGGUGGAUGCACCACGCAACUUUCAGACCUGCUUCAUUUUGAGCAAGAGAUACGCUCAAAACCAUCAGUGGAAUCAAGAAUUCCAGAGUAUAAAAUCAUGGACAGCCUCAAUAAACCACUUGAGCUGAUCUUGAACUCUGAACUCCAACUUCAGGGCACAUUUUGUAACAGAUAAAUGCUAAUGGCGAAGGAGAAAACCAAAUCUGAUGAUAAUUACAGAAUUAUCCAAAUGCUGAUCAUGCCAUGAGGAACCACGUUUCCAUCUCCUGUUUUGCUUGAUAAGGUAACAACAGGACAUUGCUGUCAGCAUUAUCUCCACAGCAUCGUUUGAAAUUAAAGUUGUGUAUAAAAUGUAUUUUCAGUACGGCACAAUUUGUUAC